UUGUUGCAGGCCAUUCAUAGUGAGCAGCAUUGGAACGGGAGAAGUUGGAAACGGAGCAGACUUGAGAACCUGGCAGCACGGUUCUCAGCUGAUUGUCAGAUCGCA
rnacentral:SRP_RNA from 13 species